rnacentral:lncRNA from 10 species
AAGAUGUGCCUGCUUCACCUACUGGCGUGAAUGUAAACUUUCUGAGACCUUCCCAGCCAUGUGGAACUGUAGUUGGGAGCCAGGGAAGGAGUGACACUAUCCCUAGAUGUAGUGAUAUGUUUUACAGGUCCACAGCUGGAAGGAGCUUUCCUUGAUUCUCAAAUGAGACUUUGGACUUUGGACUUUUGAGUCGGUGCUGAAACAAGCCACGCUCUUCAUGCCUGUGUGUUUCCCGCACCCCUGGGAAGGCGAAGGGAAGGAGCUACAUUGUCAAGUGUGGUCCAGCAAGUAAGCAGGUCCUGAGCACCAAACAUAUCACAGGCACUCACUGCUUGGGCCCACCAGUCAACAGGAGCCUGCUAGAUACAGCCAUGUGCCACUCCAACCUCCCUGAGGGCAUGGCCUAUGCACUAUUUGAUUUUCAGCAUAUCAUCACGAACUCCACGGGCGUCAAGAAGCAAUGGGUGUGGAUGUAGAAGCAGCCCGGAUUGCAACUGUGGUGGUGUAUUCUUGAACUAUAUUGUUCUAUUGGUGGUUUCUAGCUUUCUUGCCUUUCUGACCAUGAUACGAGUAGCUCCCUUGAUGGGUUAGUUCUGAAGGUUCAGAGAGUCUCUCCUCAGGCCUACACAAGCUCACUACUGCUCACUUUAUGUGAUGUGGGCCUACACAAGCUCACUGCUGCUGUCUUUCUAACAUGUCUAUAUGUUCUUCAUUAACUCUAUUAGAUCACUUUCUGCUGAAAGAGAUCAGUGUGCUUUCUGUUUCCUGAACUCAACCUUGGGAAAAAUA